rnacentral:rRNA from 1 species
UGCCAGCCGCCGCGGUAAUACAGAGGGUGCGAGCGUUAAUCGGAAUUACUGGGCGUAAAGGGCGCGUAGGUGGUUAUUUAAGUUGGCUGUGAAAUCCCCGGGCUUAACCUGGGCAAGUCAGUCAAAACUGGGUAACUAGAGUACAGUAGAGGGUAGUGGAAUUUCCGGUGUAGCGGUGAAAUGCGUAGAUAUCGGAAGGAACACCAGUGGCGAAGGCGACUACCUGGACUGAUACUGACACUGAGGCGCGAAAGCGUGGGGAGCGAACAGGAUUAUAUA